rnacentral:rRNA from 1 species
UACGUAGGGUGCAAGCGUUGUCCGGAAUUAUUGGGCGUAAAGAGCUUGUAGGCGGUUUGUCGCGUCUGCUGUGAAAUUUCGGGGCUCAACCCCGAACUUGCAGUGGGUACGGGCAGACUAGAGUGUGGUAGGGGAGACUGGAAUUCCCGGUGUAGCGGUGAAAUGCGCAGAUAUCGGGAGGAACACCAGUAGCGAAGGCGGCACUCUGGGCCGGUACUGACGCUGAGGAGCGAAAGCGUGGGGAGCAAACAGGG